GGCUCCGUGGCGCAAUGGAUAGCGCAUUGGACUUCUAGUCAAGCACUAUGAGCAGUGAUUCAAAGGUUGUGGGUUCGAGUCCCACCGGAGUCG
rfam:Lepisosteus oculatus unplaced genomic scaffold TNK25, whole genome shotgun sequence.